rnacentral:rRNA from 1 species
AGUGAACGCUGGCGGUAGGCCUAACACAUGCAAGUCGAACGGCAGCACAGUAAGAGCUUGCUCUUACGGGUGGCGAGUGGCGGACGGGUGAGGAAUACAUCGGAAUCUACUUUUUCGUGGGGGAUAACGUAGGGAAACUUACGCUAAUACCGCAUACGACCUACGGGUGAAAGCAGGGGAUCUUCGGACCUUGCGCGAUUGAAUGAGCCGAUGUCGGAUUAGCUAGUUGGCGGGGUAAAGGCCCACCAAGGCGACGAUCCGUAGCUGGUCUGAGAGGAUGAGCGGCCAGAUGGGGACUGAGAGACGGCCCAGACUCCUACGGGAGGCAGCAGUGGGGAAUAUUGCACAAUGGUCGGAAGCCUGACGAAGCAACGCCGCGUGCGGGAUGAAGGCCUUCGGGUUGUAAACCGCUUCCGCCUGUGACGAAGCGUGAGUGACGGGAAUGGGUAAAGAAGCACCGGCUAACUACGUG